rnacentral:lncRNA from 1 species
AUUUCAAAUUAUGUAAGGGCAUCUAUGAUAAUUUUGAACUUUUGAGGGGUACAAAUGAAAUUGCCCCUUUUUUUAAUUUAUUUAUCCUUUUUUAAAAAAAUAAAUUUUCUUUAUGAAUUGAAGGGAUAAUAUGAUAUUAUGAUUUAUGUUUUUUUUUUUUCUUUUGCAUUUAACCAUCUCGAAAAAAAAAAAUUCUAAUAAAUUUAUAUUUAUAUAAAGAAUCAUUUUCUUACCACGCAAGCGCUUAGGUAGUAUUAUUAAGUUGGACACGCUAAUUUAAUCAUCGUGUUUAAACACGGGAAUUGAUCAUCGUCUAACUUUUUGUAUUUUUUUUCGUUCCUAAAUAAAAAAAGAGAGAUCAGGAUAUGGAUAUGAAUAUAAUAAUUCUAUCACCGUAUUUAAACACGGUGACCGUAUUUAAACACGAUGAUUUAUUUACCGUAUUCAACUUAAAAAUUCAAACGUGACGCUUGCAUGGCAAGAAGAGAGCCAUAUGUGUAAAUAUAAAUUUGUUAGAAUCAUUUGUAAAAUUUUUGUUAAUAAAGGCUAAAUGUAAAAAAAAAAAGCCCUAUUAUCUAAUAUGCGCUUUCAAAUUCUAAAAUAUCUUAUUUAUUUUUUAAAAAAUUAAAAUAUUUUUGUUAAUUUUAAAUAAUUUGUUCUAUGGUUCAUUAAUGGAAUUGGAGUUUAGCAGAGUACUUUGAUAAUUUUAUAAUUAAUAUGAAAAUUUUAAAUAGUAAUAAAGGGUAAACAAGAAAAAGCCUCUAUGCAUAUAUAUUUUAUUCAGAAUAUGAUAAUUUACUUUUUAUUUGAAUGCAUGAAUAUCUUAUUCCGUAUAUUUUUGUGAUUGAUUAUAUUUAUCAUAUGAGAAGUGUGAUCAAAUAUUUAGAAUUAAAAAUUAUAUUCAAUUUUCAAAUUAUUAUUUUGAAUAAAAAAAUUACCUCAUAAGUGAAAUAUGUUAUAUCGCCAAAUUGCGGAUAUCAAGAUCCUAUCAAUAAGCAAAAAAAAAAAAAAAAAAAAAUCUCUCUUUGCAAUCACACAACAAAAAAUCCAAACUGAGCCAUUAAACCAUAUUCAAAUAUCAAAAUAUAACAACAUAUCACCGACUGUCCGUAGAGCAAGUGGCAAAGCUUGGUGGUUUGUACCGAGACCUAAGUUCGAAUCCUAGUUGAUUACAUUUCUAGCUAAGUUUAUUCAAAUAAAAUAAAGAAACAGAUAGCGUGCUACUACUCAAAAAUAUAUAUAUAUAUAUUUACAAACAUAUCUAAUCAUAUUCUAUUCUAAAAAUUUUCUAUUGUGCUUAUAAUUAAAAGUUAGAAGGUUAUUAAUUGUUUAAAUUAAAAUAACAUAUUCAACUUUCAAAUUAUUUUUUAAAAAAUAAAUUAUUUCAUAAACGAAAUAUGUUAUUCUCUCAAAUUCUAAAAAAUAUAUAUAUAUAUAUAUAUAGUAGGGCUACUAUGCAAUUAGGAGCACAGCAGCCCUUGUGCUCCUAACUUUCUAACCACCAUCAAGUUUGUUGGGUGGUUAGAAUGAGAGAGGAGGGAAAUAUUGAAGAGAUUUUUCUAGUACUUGUCACAUUUGCUAGACAAAAAUUAUGUGGGCAUUUGUUCCCAAACAACUUGUUUGCUAAACAAAAAUUGUGUACAGACUCUCAUCACGACUGCUCCUUUCUCUCUCCCUCUCUCUAAAAAUUCGGAGCCCACAAUUUUUUUUUCUUUUUUUUUUUUUUCAUUUCCGAGGAUUGUGAUGGGCGCCGGCAUUGUCCCCAAAUAAAUUGUUUGGAGACAUUUUUGAAACACUUUUAUAUAAGUGUCUUAUUUAUACCAAAUUGUUUUAAAAAAUCUAUUAAGACCUAAAUAUAAAGUCCAAUCCAAUCAAGAACAAAAAGUUCCUACCCAGCCCACUGGGCCCGAUUACAAAUAAAAAAACAAAGUAAAAAGAAAAAUUGAUCAUCUUCUUUCCUUUUCCUCCUUUGCCGAUGCAGUUGGCGAAAUAGGGUUUCGGCGGCUGGAGUUCGGCCGCGAGGAUCUCGCAGGGACCGUAGGGGGCUACAAUCGCCACGUAUCCCUCCGCCACAAGUAGUUGGAGUAGUAAGUGCCAAAUAUUAAGGCAGCCUUACCUAUAGCGACUCCACAUAUAGCAAUAUUUUUAAAAGGUGUCGAUAAUUUAGUCUGCAACACUUUUUUUUUUAUCUGUACUGAUAUUUAAUAGUAUCGCUAUACAUUGUCUUUGUUGUAGCGAAUGCUUGAUAAUUUACUUUAUACUUGAAUUAUUUGUCUUUCAAAUGAUUUAAAAAUAUGUGCAACAUAUAAGUAAAUAUAUGAGUCUUAUUAUUUAAAAUUCAAGUCAGAUCAGCAAUCUGCUUUUCAUAAAAGUAGUAUUUUAAAUAUUUUUUGAACUUCAAUAGUUUUUAGGUAAAAUGUUGAAACUUUUUUCACAAAUAUUUACUGUUUUUUUUUAGGAAAAACUUCAAAUACCCCCAUUUUGGUUUCACUUUUUCUCAUUUUAGUAUCCUGUGGUUUAAAGUGUAUCACGUUAGUACCCUGUGGUUUUGCACUUUUUCACUUUAGUACCCUGUGGUUUAAAGUGUAUUAACUUAGUACUAUGUGGUUUCGCACUUUCUCAUUUUAGUACCCUGUGGUUUUUAAACCACAUGGUACUAACUUAAUAUAAAAAUAAAAUCAUAUGGUACUAACUUGAUACAAAAAUAAAACUACAAAGUACUAACUUGAUACACUUUAAACCACAGAAUACUAAAGUGAGAAGUGCGAAACUACAGGGAACUAACUUGAUACACUUUAAACCACAGUAUACUAACUUGAUAUACUUUAAACUAUAGGGCACUAAAAUAAAAAAGUACGAAACCACGGGAUUUUUUUAAAGUUUUUUUUUUUUUUUACUUCUAUCUCCCGGCCUUUCAAAAUAUAUAUUUAGUUUUCUUAAAAUUUCAAAAAUAUUUUCAGAUUACGAUAUUAAUGAAAAGAAUAAAAUAACCAAAAUACUUUUAUUUGUUCUAUUAUUUUAAAAAUAUUUUAGAUAUAUUCAAUUAUAAAUUAUUAAAAGUAGAUGUAAUAUAAAAGUGGAGGUUAAGUAUCUCAAUUUGAAAUUUUAAUAAAAGAAUAAAAUAUAGAUUUUCGAUACUCAUAAAAAAUAAUAUUAAUAUUAUUAGAAAUAAAUAAAUUAAUAAUAUUCGAUGGGAAAUGACGAGGAGGGGCCCACGGGCGCUGCACCGCGCGUGCAUCUCGCUUUCGCACGUUAUUCCCCGACAACGCCUGCGAUGAUCAGAGCCGUCCGAUAGGGACUGUUACCGCCCCUGAUCAACCCACCCUCGUGAACCGAAUCCGCGUGCACCGAUGCACCGCGCUAUUAUUUUUGGGGCCUCCGUGUCCCAUCGCUGUCCCCCGCAGGAUCUAUAUAUAUAGCAGUUACAUCAUAGGAGAGAGAAAGUACAAUAAAGAUUUAAAAUUUUAAUUUUUGAGAUUGAAAAUUUAAAAAUAAAUAUUAUAAAUUAUAAAAUUAUAAAAUUUUAAAUUUGAAAUUUUAAAUUUAAAUAUGCAAAAUUUAAAAUUUUAUAAUAUAAAAUUUUAAAAUUUGAUAUAUAUGGGGAGAGAGGAGAGGGAAUGGUAGUUUAUGGUGCACUGAAAAUAGUAAGAGGACACGUGGCAAGACAGUAACAUUAGUGCAUGGACUUUAGUAUAUAGUAAUAGAUAAUAGAUUAUCUGAGUAGGGUUACUAUACUCUUAUAAGUAUAGAAUCCUUCGUACUCAUAACUUGUUUUCGAUGAUAGAGCUUCCGAAUUGACGAUCCACAUCGUAAUUUUGCGAAAUCAUAAUAAAGUCUAUCAAGCAGGUAUAAAAUGAAUGGUCAAAAUCAAACGACUUCUUAAAAAUGAAUGAUUAGAUCCUUCAAUGUAAGAUUGGAGUUAUUGAUCUUUAUCUAGAUAGUGAAUAAAAUUUUAUAUCAAAAAUUCAACCUAUAUAUUCCAAUUCUUUUACACUGUUAAACUAGCAAGUAUUCUAUACCGACUAUUAAAAAUUAUCAAUUUUAUGAUAUUUUGAUCGUAAGGUAAAUGAUGUCGAAAAAUUAUAAAAUUUUAUUUCUAGAAAUUUUAAAUGUUCUAGACAAUGUUUAACGAUAUAAAUUGUCGAUUCGGAAGCUCUAUCAUCGAAAACGACUUAUGAGUACAAGGGCGAUCGUACUUAUUAGAGUAUAGUAGCCGGACUCUAUUUAUAUUCAGUUUAUUAUAUAUUUUCUAAAAAAUAAUAAAUUUUUUUUAAAAAAGGUUAUGACGUGAUAGGUGAAUCUAAAGAUAUUAUGAGAACACCACAUCAGUAAUGCGACUGUUGUAUUCUAGAUUUUUUUUUUCUUUAUUGGUCCAGUUAUUUACGGCACGUCCAAUCGGACAGCUCAAAUCUUCUUAGAAGUAUCACGUUGCCACGUGUCGGACUCCUGUGUGUCCUCUGCGACGCUGCAUGGCCGGUUUAGUGGUUGUUAUCUGAAAUUUUAUGAAACAAAUAGUAAAAAAUCAGUUUAGUGGUUAUUUUUUGAAGUUUUAUGUAAGAAAUAGUAAAAAAUUAGGAUAAAUAUACAUUAUAUGUUUGUUUUAGUAAAAGAUAUAAUGUUGUACUUAAUUAAUUAAGAAAAUAUUUUUUGCAAUUUUAGCGGAAAAUAAAAGAGCAUUUAUCCAUAUGUUUUUUCCUUUUUUUUUCAUCAAAUAGCAUAAGACGGCCAAACAACUAAUAAAUUAUUAUCAAAUUGGGUAUUUAUAAUAAUUUUUUUUAAAAUUAGAGAAAUAUUUUUUGAUAUUGGCACUUUUAGAAAUNNNNNNNNNNNNNNNNNAUAUAAAAUUAAAGAUUGCAGGAAGGGUACGCAUAAAAUUAACCCAAGUGAGUAGGAAUUACACAAAAAGGUUGUGGAAAAAAAUAAAAAAAGAAAAAAAAAAGAAAAAGGUACUGAUCCUAAAUAAAUCACGAGCUGAGUUGAGUAUUACAAUUCUAAAUUACGCAGGACCAACCAAAAAAAUAAAAAUUCGUCACGGCGUAAAAUUUAUAGGGCCUAUAAAUUUUGAAACAUUCGACCACGGGCCUAAUAUUAUUUGUUUAAAAAUUGGAUCGGGCCGAAGGGGUCGGGCUCGAAAGCUUCGAUGUAUGGCUCACCUUGUUGGGCUCGAUCGAAAGCUUCCGAUUCUAAUUCGGGCCACAAUUGGGUCCAAUCUUGGGCCAAUGUGGCUAAAUUUGGAGCCAUUCAUGUUUCAGUGCUAAAAGAGAACCCUAACUAGUUCAAAAUAGUAAUAUAUAGCUCUUAUCGAAUCGCAUCGAAUUGAAUUCUAUUCGGAUUUGAUUCCAAAGCUGAGUAUAAAUGCACUACAAAUAGGAAAUUGGCUCGAGUCUGACUCGACCUAACUGCUGUAGUUCUAUUUCUUUGUCUAGCGUGAACGAAAAGCUGUUUAAGAUGUUUUAUAUGCUGCUUCGAAAAAGUGGCUUAUAACCAACAGAAGCACUACAUUCUGCAACAGGACCAAAUAGUCGAGAAUCCGAGCCGAGUCCCCGAACUGUGGUCUCAAUUUUGGGUCCAAUUUGAACCAUAUCAUUUAAGUUAGUUACAACUCAAAGGUGCUAGCUAAUGGGCACUGUCCAUUAGCAACAGAACCAACAUAAACACUACAUUCUGCAACAGGACCAAACAAUCGAGAAUCCAAAUCGAGUCCCCAAACUGUGGUCUCAAUUUUGCGUCCAAUUGUAAGUUAGUUACGAUUCAAAGGUGCCAGCAAGUGGACACUGUCCACACUCUCCCUAGUGCCACAAAACGACAAAAAAUGUACCUAUAAUUGGAUUGGAUUGGAUUGGAUUGGAUUGGCCCGGUCACGUGAAACCACCCGACAACGAGUCCAACCACUAGCGAGACAAACCCUUUCCAGUACGGUCCAAACCCUACGGAACAGCGUGAUCUGCUGAUCUCACCUAAGGCAGUUGACUAAAAAUUUAAUAAUUAGUAUUCAAAAUCUCAAAUUCAAAAUUUAGUUAUUUUAUAUUUCUAACUAGAUGUAAUUUAAACUCUCUCUUAUUCCCGUAGCUAAAAUAUAAGAUUGUCCUCCUAACUUUUUCUUAUUUUUUGGUGGAGAAGUAUUUAGUUACUGUCGUAUUAUUAGCACUUAUCAUUAAUUUUAAAAGUUCGAGCUGUUAGAAAUACGCAACUAAUUUACUUAAAGCAUACAGAUACAGUGCCAACAGGUCUUGAUUGUGACUCGGCCCAACCAGCCUCACUCCACUUCGAACAUAACUCGGCCUACCCAGUCUCACGCCACAGGGCAGAAUACUGGCCCAUUUAAGCUCGAACACCUGUACAUAUUUGCAGCAUGCGAGAAUAGUACCUGUGACCUUUGGUCUGAUACCACUUGUCGAAUUGUUGGCGCUUACCAUUAAUCCCAGAAGCUCGAUCUAAUAAAAAUACGCAACCAAUUCACUUAAAGCGUACAGAUACAGCGCCAACGGGCCUCAAUUGUGACUCGGCCCAACCAAUCUCAUGCCACUUCGAUCAUGACUCGACCCACCCUGCCCCACGCCAUUUCGAACACGACUCGACCAAAUAUGAUCUUCCGCUACAAGACAGGAUGCUGACCCAUUUAAGUCAACAGUUACGUGCUUCUGUUAUUGUGAGUAUUUUAUAGCAUUAAAGAAAAAAGAAAGAAAACGUUGACAGAGGAAUUGAUCGACCAUUAAGGCAAGUAAAAAAGGACCAAACGGUUGGUACAUGAGGUCUUAAAUUUGAAGCCUAAAAAUUGCUUCGCAUUUUCAGUUAAGCCAAUUUUAUUUCUAACAAAAAUAUAAACAAAAUAGAUAGCAUGGUUCCUUUCUCUCUAUGCAAUAAAAGAAAAAAAAAACAAAUAUUUGGCAAAAUUUAAACUUCUGCCCUAGAAGGUAUCAUCAAUGUUAGUUUUGCUGUCGAAAACAUUGAAAAAUCUGCUAGAUAGCCAUAGACUUAAAUUCUCAAAAAAUUCAAAUUAGCGUUUGGUUAAGUCACUAAGGCUUAGGCUUAGUUUGGUAUUGAGGUCUAUCUAACGCCAUUAGAUAAAAUAGAGUUGAGCAAAAAGCAUAUAGGGAUAUGCUUCUGCGUUCUCCGGUGGGACCGCAGAAAAUAUAUCGUAACCGACUCAUUGCGAUAUGCGGAACGCAAUAUUAUAUACGGAAACAAACAGGGCAUUUUUCCAUCGUCGUUUUUCACCGCACGUAACGCAAUCUCCCCGCAAUCCCAAACAAAUACUUUAGUUGUUGGUGGUAAAACCAAUACUUUAGUUCUCGUCAAACUUGAUUUCCACCUAACUAUAAUUACCUUAAUUCGUAAUUAUACUUAAUUAAAGAUUUCGUAUUCAAAUCCUGUUAGAAAAGUGUUGAACUAAAGGGGCAAUUGCUUAUAUAUUCUUGAAAAAUUUUCGAUUUUUUAUUUGGGUUAAAUGCAUACGCGUCUCUGUAAAUAUAGUAAAUUACAAAUAUAUCUAUGUAAAGUUUAACUUUUAUAUAUUGUCUUUGCAAAAGUUCUAAUAUUUUCAAAUAUGUCCCUUCGGUUUGUUACCGUUAUAAAAUUGUUUAUAUUUUAAGUGAAAUAUUAAUUUUACCAUCACAAAUAUGUCUCUUCAAAAGCCACAAUAGUAUAAUAUAAAAAGAGCAAAAAUAUCAAGUUAUUUUAUAAACUAACCAACCAGGGUUAAGUAUUAAACCUAUGAUUAACUAAAGUUUUAUAAUAGAUUCUAACGGUAGGGAUAUAUUUGAAAAUAUUAGGACUCCUGUAGGGCAACAUAUGAAAGUUGUACUUUGCAGGAAUACAUUUGUAAUUCACUAUAUUUGUAGAGACUUGUAUGAAAUUAAUUUUUUUUAUUUACCCUAUUUAAAGGCUAAUAUUAAAAGUAUCCCUUUACAGUUCCAAAUUCUUUCAAACCUAUCCUUAAAAUUAAAUUCUAUUAAUGAAUUGUUAAAAAUAACCAUUAUCUUUGUAAAAUUAUUAUUUUGUCUUUUCAAAUAUACUCUUUUAUCGUCACCAAGUUUUCUUAUUUGUUCUUAAAUUAGAGAAAAAAAAUAUUUUGACUUCUCUUUCAAAUAUAUUAUUCUACCAUCACCAAAUUUUUUUUUAUUUGCCCUUAAGUUAAGGACAGAAAAGAUAUUUUGAUUUUUUUAACUCCGGUAAAAAUGUAAUCCAAAUUUAACUCAAGGUGACUCAGUGGAUACUAACAUUGAAAGUAUUUUCGAAUAACAGAAAAAAAAAAAACAUUAAAAGAAAAUAUUUGAAACAAAAAAAAAUAGUAAAAAUAAAUAAGAUAUUUUAGAAGCAUUGAAAACUGUGUGAAGGCAAUUAUGUAUAUUAAAAGAUACAGGAGCCAGUUUCAAAUAUCAGAAUAAUGCGAGGACUACCAUGCAAUUUUACUCUACUCUCAUUCCCCUAUAAUAUGGCUAUAUAUUCAUGUAUGAGUAUCCACUACUCACCUCUCUCUCUCUCUCUCUCUCUCUCUCUCUCCAUUAAUGGCUACCACUCUCCUCCUCUCCCUCCUCCUCCUCCUCCUCUCUCCUCUCACCUUCUCCGUUCCCACGCCCACGCCCACGCCCACGCCGACCCCGCUGGUGCGGAGCACGUGCAACGCCACCACAUACUACGACCUCUGCGUCGCCUCCCUCUCCUCCGACCCCGCCGCCGCCGCCGCGCGCGACCCCACCGCGCUCUCCUCCAUCCUCGUCUCCCGCGCCGCCGCCGACGCCGCCAACGCCUCCGCCGCCGCCGCCUCCCUCGCCGGCGCCGCCGCCGCCGCUGAGCCCUCCGCCGCCGCGCUCCGCGCCUGCGCCGCCAAGUACGCCGCCGCGCGCGACGCCCUCGGCCGCGCGCUCGCCGCCCUCGCCGCCGCCGAGUACGACUACGCCUUCGUCCACGUCGGCGCCGCCGCCGAGUACCCCCGCGCCUGCCGCGCGCUCUUCCGGCGCCAGGCCCCGCGCCUCGCCUUCCCCGCCGAGAUCGCGCGGCGCGAGGACGCGCUCGAGCGCCUCUGCACCGACGCGCUCGACAUCAUCACGCUCCUCGGCGACUAAAGAAAUGCAGCGUAGCUGGAGAUGCAUACAAUCUACUUGAUUAUAAUACAAUACGCGGCACUGUAGUUAUAAAUAAUUUAUUUAAUUACAUACAGUCGAGAACUUAUGUUUAUAUAUUUUAUUAUUUUUUAAUAUGUAAUGAUGAGGUUAUCUUUAAUGUAAACAAAUUAUAUUUUGUGUUGAAGUUACACUUUCCAGCUUUGUGAAUUAAUUUCAAAUUUAUCAAACUAAAUACGCUGUGUAAUUAUAACUAAAUACAACUAACAUAGCUUUUAAUUAAUGGCCUAUUUGGUUCACAAUAUCUUUUGAUGCCUUAAAAUGGGAACCCUAAUAAAGUGAGCGUCGGAAUUAUAAAAUUUUAUGUUUGUUUCAUCAUAGAAAUCUGAUAUGAUAGAAAUUAAAAAUUUUUGUAAAAUUCUGUAAUUUCUUUAAACGUGGAAUUUAAAAACCCAUCUCAACACUAGGUAUCCUUUUCCGAUAAAUUUUGAUUUAAAAAGGCUAUAAUACUUUUGUCCAAAUUUUAUAUCUAUCACAAAAAUUUAUAUAAAUUGAGUAUAAAAAUUAAAUAAAGUUAUAAAUUUCCUAAAUUUAGGAGUAUUUAAAUAGAUUUAAUAUUCAAAUAGUCAUGAUUUUUAUGUGAUUAACUUAAUGUAAAUGAUAAUAUUAGUCUCCACAAAAAGAAAUAUUGUACUAAUUUUAUUAACAUAGUUGGACAAAAUCUUUGGUGGAGUCAAUACAAAAAUAAUAUAUUUUUGUGUAUUAAUUCUAAAAUAUAGAGUCCGGUUACUAUACUAUCGAUAGUACCUUGCGCUCGAUGCUAUCGAAUUUUUCGCUGCCAGAACUACUCCUUUAAUCAUUUCUACUCGUUACAUCAUAAAAUUCAACUAAUCACUCUCAUAACUCUAAGAGAUUAUUAUCAUCCUAAACCGCACAUCCAUUCAUCCAAGGGCCGAAAACCGAAUAGCAUAAUACUAUUAAUAAUAUAGUAAUCUAAUUCCUAUAUAUCAAAAAAAAAAAUUUCAUGCAACAGAAAUUCUAUAAUAUGAAUAAAUUUUUUAAAUAUUAAUUUUAAGUGAAUAAGUUAAAUCCUAUGAAUUAGGCAUGCCUCAUUGUGCCACCACAUAUGAUAUGUACUACAUUAAAUAGUUGAUAAUUUUUUGUUUUGAUAUUUAUUUAUAGUGAACAUGGUACACUUGCACACACACACUAGUUAGGUUUUUUUUUUCUCUUUGUUGAGAGACAAAAUUAGAGUACAUAUUAGAGUACAUAUUAUUAUCUCUCCAAAGUGCUUAUUUAGUCUAAGCCUAGGUUGUUGUUCUGUGUUUUUUUUUUUUCAAUCUUCUUUUUACACACUAGCUAGGUUUUUUUAAUAUUCUUUUUCACAAUGUUUCAUAAUGUUUCAUAAUGUUUCUAAUAAGUCAACCAAAAUCCGGAAUUUUCUCCCUCUGUCCCUCUCCAUCAAUUUUUUUUUAAUAAAAGACAGAGUAUCCUAGCUAGUGUAUAAUUCUUAAUUUGUCGUAAUUGUUUAGAGAAUUAUAUAACCAAAGCUCUCUUUUUCUACUCUGUUAAAUAUAAAUAUUAAAAAUAUUAUUUUUUGAUAGUUUAAUUUUUUUAAAAAAAUAUUUAUUUUAAUAAUUUAACAUGAUAUCAGAAUGAAAGCUGCAAAGUUUUAAUCCCAUCAAAUUCUUAAUAUCAUUUAUUUAUUUUUCUAUUUAAAUAGUAAAAUUAUAGCUUUUUUUUCAAUAUAUAUAUUCAUCCAAAGUGGGAGACCCAAUUCCUCAAAUUAGAACUAGGGUAAGUCAUAAAGAAAAGUUGAAAAUUUGGUGCCUACUAUUUGGCCCUACUAGCUUUUAAAUGGAAUUUUCUUAAUAUUAGGAGGAGUACUUCUCAUUGAUAGUUAGUGCUUACUAGCCUACCACAUAAGAUGCUUUAACACUUGUGUUGGCAUUUGACUCUUUGGUGGUCUCGUUGACCACUUGCAUUGACCUUGUCUUCCUUAGAUCAUAGCAAUUCUACAAAAUAAAAACCCUAAAAUACUGUAGCAUAUAUAUUUCAACUCACUGUUCGCAGGUCAAUUUGUGUUCUGCUCGAAAAUGAGCUCAAGUGCAACACUCAAAUACUCUAGCAAAUUUAAGCAGGACUGAUAAUUUAACUCAUUGUUCGCAGGUCAGGUCGUGUCCGACUCGAAAUGAAUUCAAAAUCAAUUGCCAGUGUAGUAAAUAAGACGAACAUAAUUUAGGGUCAGUUCACUCUUGUACAGCUCCUUAACAACCUUUACAUAUAAAAAUAAUUUUUUUAAAAAAAAUAAAAAAGUAAUCACUCCACCACUGGCAAGACAACCUUUAAUCGCCUACGGGGACCCAACCUGUGAAAUAUAAAGUCGUAAGGUUGACAGAUCUAAAAAGUAAGUCUACCAAAAUUAAGUUAGGGAAGAAGCCACUGGAAUGAAAAGAAUUGGUGUAGAACCUUCUAGACACAUAAACUAUAUUUUUAUAAAAAACUAAAAAUAAAAAAAUGCCACACUCUAUUUUAUAAAGGUGAAAAUAUAAAGAACUUAUCUGAACUAUAAAUCAUUUUGAGCUUGUUAUCUGAUCUUUUAAAAUUUUAAUUUUAGUAUUUUACUACUCAAUCUUUCUAUUUGUUUACUUUGAGCCAUUCAACGUCACUUUGAUUUCAAAUUCGAAUACGCCGUUUAUCUUUCAAACAAGUUAAAGAUUGGGCAAUAGUCUGCAAUCUAAUUUAAAAUGAUUCAUAGUUCAGAUAAAACAAGUAGAGGAUCGAAACCUCAACUUCUUAACUAAUUUAGAAAACCUCAAAAGGUUCAUUCAUUCACUACAAAUUAGAAACAAGCAUUAGUUCACUACACCACCACUUCCCGGUCGAACAACCAACUAAACCGGACCCUCCUGGGCCGGGCCUUCGCGGCCCGAUCCUCGGCCCGUUCCUGUACCUUCCUCAUCCUCGGGCCCAGCUCGCAUAUAAAAUCGCGGGCCCUCCGGCCCUCUCCGCUCAGUCCUCUCUCCAACUGCUGCAGUUUCCAUCUGUCGACUAAAAACUCUACUAUCCCGGCGUAGUCGCCCGCGGUGUAUACCCCGAUCUUUUGGGCCACUGCAGAGAAGUUCUCGAACAGCCGCGCGUCCCGGCCGUCGUGCAUGAGGUGCGCCGGCAUUGCGAUGCGCUUGCGCAUCAUGUCGGCGAUGGCAAUCACCGCGCCAUCCGGGUCGAGCUCCAGGAGCUGCUCCACGAUGCGCUCGUACGCGUGCUCGUGCCGCUUCUCGUCGGCGGCGAUGGUGCCGCAGAGCCGGGCCAGGACGGCGUCGCCGCGGGCCUUGGCGAGCCGGGCCGUGUUGCCGUGCGAGACGAACGUGGCCCGCUCCUGGAACGACGUGUAGACGUAGCCCAAGUAGGGGUUGUUCUCCGUGCCGGGGUCCUGAAAAACGGCCCAAAAGGCCCAAUAGUGAAUUUAUGAUUAUACUUGGGCCAGGCCCAAAAGGCCCAUUGGGCCAGAGUAACUAAGCAGUACAUUGGUAUACUCCCAUGUUAGGAAAUAGAGGGUCACUUUAUCAAUCAAUUUGAUGAGUAUUGUUUUUUACUUUUUCUAUUUUUUUAAAAAAAUUGUGUCCAUGGCAAAAUUAUGUACCGUUUAAUAGUGAACCGAUUAAGCUUUUUGACUUUAUAUAUAUCAGGAAAUUAACGGCUAAUAGUCAAAAUUUGUACUUAACACAACCCAAAAAAAUAGUCAAAAAAUUCUCUAUAAAAAAUGGGAAAAAAUUAUUGUGCUCAAAAGUCUAAACUAAGGACAUUAUUCAAACAACCUUUUCGUCAAAUAUCAUCAACAGCAUUAACUUUUUUAAAAAAAGGGAUUGUCCCCGAGCUGUUCAUAUAACUUUAAGAUUCAUGUUAUUGGUAAAUAGAAUAGAAAAUUGUUCCUAUGAAAAGACAAUCUAAUCAAACUGUCCAUCAAUUUGUGCAUUGUAUAUGAUGACCGCUUGAUUAGACUUUCUAUUUUAGGGGCUAAGCGACGUGGGUGCAUGCAUGCAUGCUCUUACGUACCAUUCCCGCGCCGACGAGGUACUGCACCGUCUUUUCGACCAUCCGCAUGUCGACGCGGCCGGAGAGGUACAGGUACUUCCCGAGCGCAUCACCGUGCCGGUUCUCCUCGGCGGUCCACGCCCGCGUCCACACCGCCCACGGGCUCGCGCUGGCCCCGGUCUCGUCCCGCACCCCGUCCAGCGUGUUGAUCAUCGUCUGGUACGUCGGCAGCGCCUCCUCCGUCACCAUGUCCCCCACAAGCACUGCAAGUAGCUCGUCGGGCAAUUGCGCCGACCGGGCCCUCAAUUCCCGAACCUGGGCCCCAAACUCCUCCGUGGGCCGGGCCGAGUCCGGCAGGAAGUCCGUGGGCUGCCAGCAUUGGUCCACGGGCUUCAGCAGCGGUAAGAGGGCCCGGCGGGCCCAACUCUCGAGCGAUUUGAACACCUCGGCCUUCUCCGGCGGCAUCGAGUGCGUCACGCUCCGUCGCACCAUCGGCGGUGCCGCCACCGCCGCAAUCUUAUUAAUUGAGAGCCGAGACACAGUUGAUGAGUCUGCAUUGCACACUACUAUUCUUACUACCGCGUUUGAAAAUAUGACCGCGUUAUGAUUUCCGUNUCGCGGCCGCCGCGGCGCUCCAAUUAAUUGAGAGCCGAGACACAGUUGAUGAGUCUGCAUUGCACACUACUAUUCUUACUACCGCGUUUGAAAAUAUGACCGCGUUAUGAUUUCCGUGUGUGUAUAUAUAUAGAGUGGGGUGCGGAAAUAAAUGACCUUAGAAAGGGCAUAAAAUUUCAAAAAAGGGUGGUGGUUUUAUGACGCUUGUGGCCGUUGGGGUAAAGGGUAUUUGCGUCAUUUCACAUAACGGAGAGGGUUUGUGACCGAGUUGUGCUUUUUUAACAAAACCAAUGGGUGCAGUGGUUUUAUGGUUCCUGUGGGUGUAACAUCCCCUUCGUGGAAACUAUCGCCUGGACAGGGUGCAUGAGCCGCACCAGUUAGAGCGCGAAACGUGGCAUGUUAACCAAUGAAAAGGGGGCGUGGGAUUUGGAAUCGGUGGGGCUGAGAAUAUCAUCGUGGCGGUCGAGUGUUUUGUUAAUUGGGGAUUAGUGGGGUGCGAUUAAUUAAGUUAACCUUUUUAGCGACGCCACCGGGUUUAAUUAAAGGGGUUUUGGCACGUGCGGAGGGGGCGGUGGUUGAGGCCGCAGCACGUGCCCCACAAGGCCCAUUUCUAGGCCCAUUAGAACAAUUUUUUUUUUUCUUCUUUACGUUUUUUUAAAAAUUUUUCAUGGGCCUGGCCCAUUGGGAAUCGUGGGCUUAGUCUUAAUGUAAACUAGCUCUUUAUUAAUUUAACGCAUUUAUAAUUUAUUGGCAUUUUGUGAAUAUAAAUAUUAAAAAAUAUAAUUUUAUGGUAGCUUAAUUUUUUAUAGAAUAAUAAUAUUUUUAUAAAAUUAAUUAUGGUAUCAAAACAUGACAGAGAGAAACCAAGCAAUUAAUAAAUAAAAAAAAUAUAUAUGAAUUUAUAACUUACACUUAUCUCAAUUGUAUAGUCAUGUUUUAUUCAUCGUGGUAAACCAUAUAUAAAUGGAAGCAGUAAAUGCGAACUCACUUUACACAUUUUCCAUCCACACUCAUUUUAUUUUAUUAUUAUUGUUAUUAUUGGGAGACGCGUACGCAAACGACUCUCCCCAUCCAUGCAUGCAAACCCUACUUUUCAUAGGAGCCAAACAAAGCCAUGUCCUUCCUAAACCCUGCGUUCAAGAAGACGAUGGCCAUUAUCCGGAACCGCCGAGCGCAGCGGCGGCCGCUCCCCUCCUACCUCUUUGCGUGACGCUUCGGCGAUCGCUUCGUGCUUCCUUUUCACUUCUUGUAGUUUGAUAUCUUCAUCGAUACAUAGUGCUACAAGUUGCUCGCCGUGGGGGCCCGGAACGACGGUCUCGUGGACGUGAACAUGGUCUUCGGAGCUCACAACCUUGUCCUCUUCGACCGCUUUCUUCUUCUCCUUCUUCUUCUUCUUUCUGAGGCAGCAGCAGAGUGCUGCUGCCAAGAAGGCAAGGAAGAAUAGCCCGCCGAGCGAGACAAACACGACGGGGGGAGUGGCAGGGGAGGGGACGGUGAGGGGGGCAGCGGCGGCGGCGGUGUCACAUGGAGGCGGAGGGGGAGCACUGGGGCCUAGGGGGGCCGGGCGUGGAGGCGCGGGCGGGGGCAGGCGGUGGAAUUGCGGGGGAGGAGGUUAUAGCUGGAGGCGGGGAGGGGGGGCCCCAUCAUGGGACGGCGGCGGCGGCGGAGGGCUUCGCUACGCGAAGGGGGAAAGACGGGGGCGGCGGGACGGAGAGGGCGGCCGAGGGGGCUUGAAAGGGAAUGUUGAGGGGGGAGGGAAGAAGGGGAAGCCAUAGUUUUGAGGGGAGGGGAUAGAAGACAUGUUGUGUUGAGUAGGAUUAGAUGCAAACUAGCUAGGGAUGAGCAAAAUGGUGUGAGUGUGUGUUGGUAUUUAUAAGAACCAAUAUAGAUAUAUAUUGACAUGUAUAUAUAUUAAUAUAUUAUAUAUGUAGUGAAGUGUGAUUUGGUUUGCAUAUGUGUAUGACUUGGCUCCCAUGCUAAGGCUUUUGUGAGAGUUGCUUCAAAUCAAUGUGUUGCUUACCUAGCAACGUGGGGAAGGCCUUUCUCUAUAUAUAGAUAUAUAAUAUAAUUUGUGUAACUAAGAAGCUUUGGAAAAGAACUACUAUACUCAUGGUCAUGAGUAUUAUUUGUUAAGGCUUUGUUUGGUUCCGGGAUAACGAAUAUUGAAAUAAAUUUUUUAUUUCUAAAAUAAUUUGCUAUUCUGAAAUAAUUAAGAUAAAAGUUAAAUUAUUUUUGAUUAAUUUUAUGAGAUAGUAGAGAAUAGUGGGAAAAAAAAUGAUCGUUUGAAUUUGAUAUAAAAUAUAAUUUAAUAAAAAUUUCUUAUAAAAAUAAUUAUUGUAAAAACAAUUUAUAAAAUAAUUCAUUAAUAAUUAUUGUAAAAAUUAUAAUAUUUAAUAAAAAUAAUUUAUUAAUAAAUUAUGAUUUAAUAAAAAUAAUUUUUAUAUAUAUAAUUUUUUAAAAUUCUACUUAAACUUAAAUUUAAUAAAAAUAAUUUAUUAUAAUAUUUAAAUANNNNNNNNNNNNNNNNNNNUAAAUAAUAUGUAUUAAUAUAAUAUUAUUAUAAUUUUAUAAUAAAAAUAAUAUAUUAUAAUAUAUAACAUAUGAUAUCUAUAUAAUUUAGUUUAAUUCGUUUUUUAAUUUUAAUAAUGUUUGAAAUUAAACUUUGGAAUAGCACUAUUCUGCCAAAAUGGUGGAAUAAUAAAUUUCAAGUUAUUCCGGAAUAGCCAGAAAUAGCAAGGUUUGACAGGAAUAAAAUAUCUUGACCAAAAAGCACUUCAUUUGGUGGAAUAGCGGGAUAACUUUUGUUAUCCCCGCUUUAUCCCCGAAUCAAAUCGGUCCUAAAGAAUAUAAAACAAUCUCUAAUCUCCAAAAUUUUAAGCUAAUAGAGAACAAUGUUUAAAUAUCUUUAUAUUUACCACUUUUUUUACGUGAUCGAGACUUGUGGACUUGAAUUAAGUGAGAGAAAAUCGACAAAGCUAGGAGUUUGGCGUUACUAGAAUUCAGAACCUCCUUCUCUGAUAUUAUAUUAAAGAAUAUGAAACAAUCGUUAUUUUUCAAAAGCUUACACUAGUAGAGAACGAUGUUUAAAUAUUUUUAUAUUUAAUAUUAUCCUCUUUUCUUUUGUUUAUUGACGAGUUCUUUGCAAAGUUUUAAAAGUUGGUACAAAAUCUACACAUUUCUUAGUUACUUUUAAGUUUACAGGAGUAUAUGAAUUCAAACAGAUCUCUAUGGGCUCAGCCCAGCUAAAAACAUCACCUUGGGCUCCUUCAACCCAAAUAAGGCCCAAUAAAAGGGGUCUUAUUAACAGCUAAAUUUGAAUUCCCCUCUAUCCCUCCCUCCCUCAAUUGCUCGGCCAUGCACUGCGCGGCGAGGACGCAACGACGUUGGCGCACCUUCAGCGGUGUCGACGGUGGCGACAAUCUCAGCUGCAGCGACGGCAACGGUCAUGGUAAUGGUUAGAACGCACAGCAAAACCGAGAAAGAAAUCGAGAGUUUAAACCAGAGAGAAUUAUCAUAUGAGCAAUCAACUUGUUGCAAUAAUCCGCUUCUAUUAGAUUACAAAUCACUAUAUGAACUUUCAGAAAGAAUGUUAAUCGCCACUAAAAUAUGUUAAAAAAAGCGAGCCAAUUACGCUUUAAUCAUCGGUUUGUGGCAGGUUAAGAUGAAGAAUAAAUGGGCCCAAUCAAUAGACAAGUUAUCAGAUUAUUGUUAGCAGGUCAAUCCAACAAACCUGGAUAUAUGUCACAAAUUUUUAAUUAAAAAUGUGGUUUACCAAAUAGAGGUGAUGAGAAACAAGGCCUACCAACUCCUGCUUUAGGUUUACCUGUUUUUGUACGGAAAUGUAUAGCAUAUUGCCCCUUUUUAUCACGAAAAUAUGAAAAAUUCAGAUAGUAUUCUAAAAUAUUGUUGAUGAGUCGAUUUUGCAUAUAUUAUAGUUGAUUAUUGGAUUAGCUUCUCAACUAUGAUCUUUAACUUAGGUAUCACUUCUGAUAUCUAGAAACAUAUAAGACUGAUUAGCUGCGAAAGACAUAAGACUGACUCGUAAACUGUUAGAACAAAUACCGCACAGAAAUCUGAUUGUGAUUUAAAUCUAACUAAAUUUUUAUUAUGAAAAUAAAUAAAUCAAUUUACAGAUGAUCGCUAAAUCCAAAUAAAUACUUAAUUGAUCCGGAAGCGUGCGAGGCAUUGCCCUAAGGCGUAUUCCCGUCCUUACGUGCGGGAUUAACCGGGAACAACACCCCAAGGUACGACCGGAAUUCCUCCUCCUGCGAGCACGAUCGUGAAGGAGAUUGACGGUGACUCUUUCAACACCCAGCGAUAAAUAAAAAAAAUUAACUUAUGAAAAAGGGAUAUCAAAGUAAAACAAAAUUUCAUCUCUUUUACUUCUCUAUAUAAUAUUCAUAUAUCAUGAACAGUAUGUAGAGGAAUAAUCUAAUAAAUAAAGAGAAUGGGUUGAACAUUGGAAUCCUCAAAGGAUUCCAAUAGUGGAAACGGUUUCCACUAUUAAUCCAUCUCAUUAAUUAAAAUAAAUAACAAUGGAUACUAAUAAAUGAGAAUAAAAGAAUUAAUAAAUAACAAUUAAAAUAAUAAUAAUAGUAAUUAAGAAAUUUGAGUAGUAAUAAUAAUGAUUAAGGGAUUUUGAAUUUUCCUCCAACAUAAACUGUAUACUAAAAUCUCAUUACGUAUCUAUUGUAUUAUCUUUUAUAAAAAGUGAUGAAUCACAUCUUAUAUUAGUUUUGCAUACGAGAGUGACUCAAUUAAUAACAUAUCCAUUACAUUAUUGUGUUACAAGAAGUGAUGAAUCACACCUUAUAUUAGGUAAGCAAGAGAGAGAGAGAGAGAGAGAGAGAGAGAGAGAGGUUGCUUUUUAAGGAUGCAACACAUGUGCUUUCACAUUUUUGAACAUUGGAUAAAUGUGAAGAUCUAUAUAUAGUAUGAGAAAGUUCAUGAAAUUCUCAAUGUGGACAACAAGUGUGUGUUCACUUACCCAGAAGCAGUACUUCUGACUAAAAAAUCUUCAACAGGAUUUUGCUACACUCAAUGGAAAUUAUGAGUUAUAAGGCCUGUGAUUUUAUAUAUAGCUCAUAUACUCAUAUUAACUUCCUACCACAAUACCGACCGUCUCUAGAGCAAGUGGCAAAAGGCUUGGUGGUUGAUACCCGAGAUCCAAGUUUGAAUCCUAGUUGAUUCACAUUUCCAGCUAAGUUUAUUUCUAAAUAAAAUAAACGAAUCGGGUAGCAUGCUACAUUUCUCUCUCAAAAACAAAAAAAAAAAAAACUUCCUACCACAACUAUCUUUAUUUGUAUGCGGAGUAAUUGUUAUUUAGUAUGACAAAAAAAAGUUGUUUCCAAAGCUAGAUAUUAAAAAUCAAUGCUAACAAAUUAAGAAAAUGUAGAUGUUCUAGAUUUCUAAUUCAUAUACACCAGGCGAUUUGAGCGUCCUUCGUUAAGGAGCAAUCAUCAGUAACGGUGGCAAUCGAACAAUUAGUGCAAAACAUGAUUGAGUGGAUAUCUUUGUCGGCUUUUGAUAGACGGUAAAUUUGAGCAAAGCCUGACCUAGGGCUAGGGUUGAGCCAGAGAAAGUUAGGUCAGCUCGAUCCUGAUGCAACAUUGAAAUAAAAGAACUCAUACAUGACCUAGAUUUUUCUGAACCUCAAUUUUUGACACUUAAGUUAGCCAAAUAAGCAGGUCCAAAUUCGAUCAUUUGACUGAGCAUGUUGGACUUGAUUUGUCGCUGUCUAAUAGAUGAUUCAAAUAAGUAAUGUGUAGAAAUUUUUUGCACAUGUACAAUUUAAACUAAAAAUGUGCUAUAGCAAAAGCACCAAGCUGCACAUGUUGAUGUGCAACUUAACCAUGCAAUGGGUGUCAUUAAAUGGAGGAGCUUCAAAUCUAGCUUGUCCAAUCAUGCCAAUGCCCAAUUUGUAAUUUGUAAAAUGGUCAAGGCCUUCACUUACAUACACCCCUUUUGAGACAUGCAUAACUCCAAUUUUACCCAAACAGUGUACAACAAAUUAAUAGAUCCCCUUUAAGAGCCUUGCUUGGUCAUACACACAAUCACUUAGAUGCAAACUCUAAGGAAGAAUCAUCUUUUUCUAAGAGAGAGGACACCUACUAUCCUCCCAAGCUAUAAGUGGAUUCCUACUAAAAAGGCUCAUUGUUGUUAUCAUACAUCUUUCCCUUCUAAGAGAACUUGUUAUCUACACCAGGUUUAUCCAUAUAUCUCAUGCACCUCAAUCAAUAUGUAACAAACAAGGUCUUUAAAUUAAAAAUUUUAGGGUGCACCAAUUAUAUUGCUGAUAUGGCAUUCCUAACCAAUCAGAUUAUUUUUCUUGAAUUUACCUAUCCCAUCAUGGUCAUUAGAUAAAUAUUUUUAUUAUACUUUUUUUUUUCAAAAAUAGAAGUAUUAUUGGCUGGUUAUUGAUUAUAUAGUAUAAGUGUGGCAUAGAGAACUUAUUCCUUUAAAUCGAGAUCUAGUAUUAUAUUUUUAUUCUACACCAACGAAAAAAGAAUACGUAUUAAAGUUAUGUAAACAUAUUAUCGAGAUAUCAAGUAGUUUCAAAAUAAACGGUUUAAAGAAAUACUCUUUAAUUUAUAAAAAAAACUAAUUUCCAUAAUUUGUGAUAAUUUUCUUUAGUAUAUAGUCCUCUUUUAAUGGUGACAUUCAUGAGAUAGAGCAACAUUAUACACACAUACAUAUUUUAAAGUAUUUUACGACUAUGCUAGUUUAGAUAAUUUUAAUUGCGCCGUUGAUACAAUUUAUAAAAGAAUAGAUCUGAGAGAGACGAACAACAAAGUUGAAGAGUUUUAUGUGCUAUGAACACUGACUGUGACUUUAUGUACUUCGUGAGAUUAUGAAUUCAUUCAAUACAAAAGACAAAGUUAAUCUCAAACAUACGAUCAAAGUACACGAUUUCUUUUUCUCGCAACUUUGACGAAAUAAACAGGUCCUAUCACCCUGUUUGGUUCGGGUGCAAGGGGUAGGAUAAAGAGUUAUCCCAACCUUUAUGCCCAAACAAAAAAAAAAGAGUGAGAUAGCUAUCCCACCUCUUAUGUGGGAAUAGCGGUGGAAACAGUUGUUCUCAUCCCUAUUUAAUUUUUUAAAAAUUUAAAUUUAAAAUUUUAAAAUUUAUAAUUUGUAAUUUUAAAUUAAAAAUUUAAUAUUUUAUAUAUUUAAGUUUUGAUUUAAUUUAAAAUUUAAAAUUUAAAACUUUAAAUUUUUGAUUUUGAGAUUUAAAAUUUUAAAUUUAAUUUUAAAUUUUUAAAAUUUAAAAAUCAGAUAUUUAAAUUUAAAAAAUUAANAGUUGUUCUCAUCCCUAUUUAAUUUUUUAAAAAUUUAAAUUUAAAAUUUUAAAAUUUAUAAUUUGUAAUUUUAAAUUAAAAAUUUAAUAUUUUAUAUAGAGCAAUUUUGCAUUUAGAUAAAAAUUAAAAUUCAAAUAAGAAGAUAAUGGACAAUAUCAUUAUUUUCUAUUUAUAACUAUUCAUUAUUUUUCUUAUUCCAUCUUAUCUAUUCAAACACUAUUUUUUUUUAUUCCCGAUAACAAUUUAAUUUUUAUCUAAAUGCAAAAUUGCUCUAUUGUAAGUUUAUAUCUAAACUUAUAACUAUUUCUGAAAUAAACAACUCUUUUUUAUAUCCGAACCAAACGAAGUCUAUAAGCAUACACGAGGUGCACGAAAUAAUUAAGAAUAUAAGGUUAAAAGUACCACUCUAUAUUAUGAACCUUUCCAUUUUUUCCCAACUACUACCCCAAACUGGGCCCCACGCACCUAUCCUCUCAAAUUUACGAAAAUACCCUCGUUCGGGAGCUAUUUAACCUCCCGCCCCAACCGACCCUUUUCCUCUUCUUCUUCCUCUGCGUCUUCUUCGUAGAGACCUCUCCUUCGCUUCUCCGCCAUUUUUCGCCCCGAGAGCAGCUCGAAACACUUCAUGGUCGGGGUUAGGGUUAGGGUUAGUGUUUCUAUCCGAAGAAGAAGAGGCGCCGGUCCGAAGGAGUCGAGCGAUCGCGCGGCGUAUCCGGUUCGAUUCCCAUGUGUUGCCCCUCUCUCUUUACCCGAUUAUCGCUGUAGAUCAUAUGAUAUUUGAGUUUUUUGGUAGAUUAUUUUGUUAUAUUGCGAAUUUAGUGAUCUCCCGAUCGAAAUGAUCCGUUUCUACUCGUUGUCGCGAUCGGAUUGAGAUAGAAAAUGUCUGAAUCCGUCGCUACGGGGCAUCUCGGAUCGGGGUGGGUGAUCUCGUGGUUUUUGAGCGAUAUGUGAAUGGGUUGUUGAGGGGGAUUUGAUCGUGGAGGCGUGUAGAAUGGUUGUGCGGAGGGCGCGGCGGCGGCGGCAGAGAUGGUGAGCGGUAGCUUUAGCCGGAGCACAUCGAUUCGCCUCACGCCGAGGAGUGUGGGGAGCCCUAGGGUUUCGUCUCAUCGGAAAUGGUGGGCGCAUGGCCCGUCGAUCAGCGCACUGGCCGUGACGUUCUUCCUGGUCUCCAUUGUUCUGGUUGUUGGAUGUGUGCUGUAUCUGUAUUUCGUUCGCUACUUGAAUCGCGAGAACUUGGUUUCCGGAUUCCCCGGUGAGGCGGAUGCGUGCGAUGUGUUUGACGGUAGCUGGGUCGCUGACGGGACGUAUCCGCUGUACAACAGUUCGGAGUGCCCCUUUGCUGAAAGAGGGUUUAAUUGUUUGGCAAAUGGGAGAAAGGAUAUGGACUAUUUGAAGUGGAGGUGGAAGCCGCGGAAUUGCGAUGUGCCCAAAUUUAAUGCACCUGAUGUCUUGGAAUGGCUUAGAGGGAAGAGGGUUGUUUUCGUUGGUGAUUCGAUGAGCCGCACGCAGUGGGAGUCUUUUAUUUGUAUGCUCAUGACCGGGGUUCGGGAUCCGCAGAGUGUUUACGAGGUCAAUGGGAAUCAGAUCUCAAAGACCAUUCGCUUCUUGGGUGUUCGGUUCCCAGAUUUCAAUUUGAGUGUGGAGUUCUUCCGGUCUGUGUUUCUUGUACAGCCGGGCCUGCCACCUUGGCACGGGCCCAAACGAGUCCAUUCAACGCUCAAGCUAGAUAAGAUGGAUGAGAUAAAUGGGAAGUGGGUUGAUUCGGAUGUCCUUAUUUUUAACUCUGGCCACUGGUGGACUCCAAGUAAAUUGUUUGACAUGUAAGUUGUUUUCUUAUUUAUUUCUCGAAUUUUUAUAUCACUUUCUGCUGGAACAGCUCAAACAGAUUUUGUCAUAGUGCAUCAGCAAUUCUGAUGUUCUACUGUGCUCAUUAAUAUGAAAUACUAUUGUUUUCCCUUUUAUCACCACAUAUCAAUAAGUUUCCGUAAAUUUAUUAGUUAUGUCAACACUAUUAGGGAUCAACCUGAAAAUCGUUGCUCUUAGCUUCAUCUAUUCGUCUUGUUUUUCUCUCUCUUUCUCUUACCUUAAUAGAUCUCAUAUGACUCAUGAUCCAUAAUUAAUAUGAUUUCUGGAUUAGGAAUGGUAAUCAUGUUGCAGAUAUUGUUCUCUAAAUCAUGUCAAGAAAAUUUGGGGAGUAAAAAUCUCCUUUUAUUAAAAUUGAUCUAUUUAUCAGAUCUUUUAAAAUAAGUUAGUAUUUUAUAUAGGCUUAUUCUUAUUGUUGCCUCGUGGGAUAUUUUACAGCCUGUUUGGAAGGAGAGAAUAGGAGAGAAAGAAGAGAAAAAUUACAAGAAAAAAGAAAGAAAAAAAUGUUCUCAUGUUUGGAUUCAAGUUUUGGGGCAGGAAACAGGAUAAUCAGGCAUAGUGCUUAGGAAAGAGAAUAAUGUUUAUUUGAUCACUUCGUUGCUUAUUUGAUUGGUUUGUGGCAUUUUGCAUGUAACUUUUUGUGGCAUUACUGCUGAUUUAAAAACUCUUAAUAAAGAGAUUAAUUUGAAUUUCCAAAUAUUGUCAGUUUUCUGCUUUACUUAUCGUAUGACUUCCCUUCACUGAUCAUCAGUAAUAAUGUUGUGUGGUUCUGAGGGAUUGUCAUAUAUGUAAUAUGCUACCUGUUUGCUGUGCCGUUUGAUUUCCUACUGUGUUCAUGGGUAGGAAUAUCUGCAGCGCAAGUUACUGUGGAAACUUUUAUAUUGUUGAACUUUUCUGAAUCAAACUUCUCGACAGGGGUUGCUAUUUCCAGGUUGGAGGAACGCUCAAGCUUGGAAUGCCUAUCAAUGCGGCCUUCAGAACGGCUUUGGACACAUGGGCAUUGUGGGUAGAAAAAAUGGUGGACAUGAACAGAACUCAUGUCUUUUUCCGGACUUUUGAGCCUUCUCACUGGAGGUGAGCAUUUGUAUCCCAAGAAGUAAUUAUUUCAGGAAAUACGUCUAAAAUGGUUUUACUGGUCACUGAAUCGUAAGAAUAUUGUUUUUGAAUAAAAACUGAGGCAAAAUUAACUGUUUUAUCUCCUUUUACCUGGCAUGCCAUCGCAGCUCUUGGGUUGACCUCCACCAGAUUUGGAUAUAUUAAAGGCUUUAUUCCCUUCUUUUUUGUGCUUAUAAUAAUGUCUAUAGAGAGUCAGAUUAUAUGAUUUAUCUUUAGGCAGUUUAAAAAUGUUAGUUUGAUUUGAGUUGGUAUUUGACCAUGGAAUAUCACUGCCACAGGAACUGAUCGCUUUAGGUAUUUUCCUAUUUUAGCAUGAUGUUAGAUGCUUGUAUUUUGUUCGCUGGUACUGAUAUAGUUACAUGCAUCCAUGCUUGGUAUGGAGAGCCAUGAACAAAAUGUAUUUGUUGUUUCCUAAAUAUCAUCAGGCAUUUAUACCAAGUAACAAACAUCAGAUACCACAAAUGGUGUCUCAUAUCAUUCUUAUUAUACGAGAUAAAUUGAAUAUACCUCUUGUAAUGAUCCAGCGGCUCAAACCAAAAACUGUGUGAAGUAACUGAACAGCCUUCCUCCGAGCUGAAGGGAAACGAUGGGAGUGAGUUCGGGGACAUCUUAGCUGACGUGACAGAGAGGAUGAGAGUUCCUGUCACCGUAUUGAAUGUGACUUCAAUGGGAGCAUCCCGGAGCGAUGCCCAUAUUGGUAUUUAUAGCCAUCCCUCCACCAUUCUCGAUUGCAGCCAUUGGUGCCUUCCUGGAGUCCCAGAUGCUUGGAAUGAGCUUGUAUUCUCGUAUUUGCUGACAGAUGGUAAGUUUCCUGGUUGUGCAUUUAUAUGCUAUUUGGAAUUUUAUUCAAGUGCUAUGGUUACUACAAAUAAAUUUGUGCAUGCCUGCCUUAUGCUGCAUGUUUUUGCAAUGCUGGUACCUGUUUGGCAUGACUCUUGGACAAGCUUCUUUCUAUGAAAAGCGGCAACUGGAAAUUUGACCGAUAAAAAAUAUAAAAGCUACUAGGCUGUGAAAGCAGAUAGUCCAAUCUGAAGCACCCGCAGCUACUAGGCCGCGAAAGCGGAUAGUCCAAUUUGAAGCAUCUGCUUUUGCUGCAGCAUUAAGCUAUAUUUGGUUAAUUGCAAUAAGAUAUUAGAACUAGUUACCUCCUAAGAAACUCUAGCCGGGCCAAACAGAUCCCUACUUGAGGAGAAGUUGCUGCCUUGACCUGCUCCGCUACGUCGGCCUUGGACCGCCCAGCGAUCGACCACAGAUCUCAUCCAUUCUUAAAAUCAUCAUCACCACCCAGCGAGUUUCAGUCUUUUCGAAAUCUGAAAGUUAUUUUCAUUUAAAGUUGUGGCGAUUGAAGGAAGUGAUGAGAUGAAGGGUACACGGCUGCGCGGCAGACCAGGUCCAGGCAAUAAUUCCUACCUGAGCAUGCAUAGUUCUUUUUAUUCCAACGUAGCGUGAAACAACCCUUAUAAAUUUGCGACGCAAGUGUUGCCUUCUCUAAAUAUGCUAGCUUACUGAUGAGCAGAAACCUUUCAUGUUGUAAUAUCCAAUGCAGCCCUUGAGCUGUUUACUCCUACGGAUUUUAUGGGGGAAAAAAAAUCAUUUUCUAGCUUACAUUGGACUGGAGUUCUUCUUCCUUUUUUUUUAUUAUUAUAUGGUGAUUAUAAGUUACCACAUUAUGCGCGGAUUACCUGUUCUUUACUGUAACAUAGCAUUUUUUAUGAUGAGUAAUUUGUGCGCUUUUUAAUUUUCUGUAGGUUGGAGAAAAAUGGUACGAUAAAAGUCAGGUUUGGUGGUUCUCUUUCUAUUUGUGCUUCCUUUUUUUUUUUCCGUUUUUCUUUUUCAAAUCAAAAGCAGCGCACUGCGAGGUAUGUUACUUUUGUCCAAUUUUUUAUAUUCUUUUUUCCCUUGAGUUCGUGAAUUAACUCCAAUGUGUAGUAUUUUGUAGCUUUAGUUUAUUUUUCCUAGAGGAAAGUGAAAUUACCGAGAUAGAUUGAUCGAUCGAUCGAUCGAUCGACCAUCUGAGGUGUAUGUAAUGGUAAUUGUUUUUAUAGAUGCCAACUUCAAUUUUGUUUUGUAUAGAAGACCUUCGUUUGAUCAAGCAAUUGAUUGAUCUGAGAUCUUGGUGCAUUUUUCCAGUUUCGUCGAAUUUUUUUGUUGCCCGGUGAAAUUUCUACGGAUGUUAUUUACAAUUUCGAUUGAACUGUUUUUCGGGUAUCUUCGUAGUGGUUAAAUACAUAAUUUUAUUUUUCUUAUUUAUGAACAUUUCUCUUGUUCUUUGAUCCGUGUCUCAUUUUUAUUUCUACAUGAAGGAAUGUGUGUUAAUUUCUAUCGUGUACUUAAAACUAGUGUCCCAAAUGAGGCCCAAAAAUUUUACAUGAUUAUUGAAUUUAUAUGUAGAAUUUUAGCGGAAUAAGUAGGAAUAUGACAAGUUGUCAUCUGAAUAAGGUAAAAAUAUUCACAACUUACUUGAAUUAUGAUUUAUUUUGAAUCGACUAUCUGGUCUUUUAAAAGUUGGAUCUUAUUAUCAGAUCUUUCGAUUUGUUUGAUUUGAGUUAGCGAGGCAUUUUGACUUCAAAUUUUAAACUAAUUAUUUAUUUUAAUAAGUUUGUAAUUAUGAGAAUUAUAUAAAGUGUACUAAUUCAAUCUAUUAGUAUAGACGUCAUAUUUAAAUUUGAAAUCUUGAAAAGCUGGAUAGUAAAAUUAAAACUUUAAAAGAUGAAAUAGUUGAUUCAAAAUAAUUUACACUUUCGGUAAGCUCUAUUAUAUAUUUUCACCUUUGAAAUAACAAUUCUAAGACUAGAUAAAAAGAGAGAUCUUUUGUUAUUAGACCUAUCUAAAUUAGUAGUUUAUUAGUUAAUUCCGUUAAUUUAUAUAAAUUUUUUCUGUUAUAUUUAGCUAAUGUCACUCGUCAACUCGUUUUCAGGGAAUCCUACAUCUAAUGUCACAGUCACUAUAAAUAUGUAGACUUUUUGGAGGCAACAACACAGUGCUUAUUUGAAAUUUAAUGUAUAAUUUUGUACGUAUACGAUCGGCUAAAAGGAACAUUGAGUUUUUUAUUUUCUUUUUUUUUGUGUUUUUUUGUGGUGCAAUUCAACUUUGUUUGUAUUUAAAUCUUCAAUGCUGAGAGCUUCACAGUCGCCGAAAUUUCAUGCGAGAUUAUAAUUUGUACUAAGCCAAUCCCAUAACCUGGUGCGACAAAUAGAUAUUAAAUCACAAGGGCAAUAUAUUUAUUUUAACUUGAUUUUAUUCCUGUGCUCUUAUCUUAGGAGAAUAUAGAUGAGAAGUAUGGUUACAAUUUUUCUAAAAUGCUGUUUGUUUUCAUGAAAUAGUUAAUGUGUUUAGUGUACAUUACACCACAAGUAUUUUUUUUUUUUUGAGGAAAAAUAAUAUGCACUCUGUCAUUUAUUUUUUUAAAAAUAAUUUAGUUGAAAAUGUGACAUCAAGUAAAUUCAACAAUUUGGGUCAUAUAUAUAUAUAUAUAUAUCGUAUAGAGAGAGAGACUGAGAGAGAGAGAGAGAGAGAGAGAGAGAGAGAGAGAGUCCGGUUGUUAUGCUAUCAAUAGCACCAAGAAGUUGGAGCUAUCAAGUUUUCUGCCGUUAGAUUAACCCCUUUGAUUAUUUUUACCCGUUAGAUUAUACUAUUCAACCAACCACCUACUUAACCCUAGGGGGCCCACAUCAUCCUAAUCGCACAUCUUUUAAUCUAAGGACGGAAAACUUAAUAGCACUAAGUUAUUAGUGCUAUUGAUAGUAUUCCAAUCUAGUUCUAUAGAGUCCGGCUGCUAUGCUAUCGAUAGCACCAAAAAGUUAAGUUUUCUGCCGUUAUAUAUAUAGUAGAACUACUAUGCUAUCGGAAGUAUAGAGAAUCUGAUAUUUUUGAUUUUCGAUUCAAGCGUUAAAAAAUCAAAAAAAUCAAAUCCUCUACGUUUUCAAUAAUAUAGUAGCUCUAUAUUUAACUAAAAUUAUGAAAUAAUUAAAUUUAAAAUUUAAAAUUUAAAAUUCUAAUUAUCAAACUUUUCACUACUGGUGCUAGAAACGGCAGUGUCAUUAUGAGACUGUUACUGAGAGGAAGACUCUCCCCUCCAGUCCAACAGACAGACAGUCCCACAUUAAAAGGUGCGGCCUCACUUUUCGGCACGACAUUUAAUUUUAAUUUUUUUUCCUUUAUUGGGCUGUUAUUAUUAUUUUAUUAUUAUUAUUAGCGCUAAUGAAAUUGAAAUGACGCCUGCUUUCAAGAACACUUUAUUAAUUUUAGCAGCAGGAAGGAUUUCCUGCCAGUAGUGGUCAUGCAAAAGUCGCACCCAGUUUUUCCACCAGAGACCUUCACCACUAAACGACAUUAUCCCCCUACUCUCGCCCUCUACUCUCCUACAUUGUUUGUGUUUUUCUCUCCCAAACCCCCCUUGUGUUACGGCAUUUUCACUUGCUACUCUGUGGUUUAUAAGACGUACAAUUUACCGCGACCCUGUGUUUCAUUUUUAAUCUUUCGCGAUACGAGCGACAGAAGCUUUUUCGGUUAAUAUUUCGUUAAAUUUAUACAAAAACAUUCAGAUAACAUCUAUAUUUACGAAUAGUCACUCCCACCGUUAGUACCUUCAAAUUUAACUUUUGUCACUGAUUUAAAAUAAUAAUAAUAAAAUUGACAAAAAAGAAAAUAAAACGAAAACCACCGGACCGGGGAGCAAAAUUGAUUCUACGUUUAAAAAAACCACACUAAGGAGCAAAAGUAAAGAAUGCACGAAACCACAGGGUUUUGAAAGUUUUCCCAAAAAAAUAAAUACACAAACAAUCGUAAGGAGGAGUAGAGGGCGAGAGUAGGGACUAGGGCGAUAUAUGCGUUUAGCUGGUGAAGGUCUUGGUGGAAAAGAACCUGGUGCGACUUUGCUGACCAACUGCCUUACUGGCAGGAACCUCCUGCUGCGAAGAAUUAAUAAAGUGUUUUUGAAAGAAAACAAAAAGCAGCGAGCGUCCAUUCACUUUCCAUUAGCCUAAAAUACAUAAUAAAUCAAUUAAAAUACAGCCCAAUAAAGAAAUAUAUUAAAAUUCAUGUCGUGUGCCGAAAAAGUGAGGCGGCACGCUUUUUAACUGUGGACUUGUCUUGUCUGUGUGGACUGGAACAGGGGACGAGUCUUCCUCUCAUUAAGCAAGCUGAUACAAAUGACAUGGCCCGCGCCGUUCUCAAGCACAGGUAGUGAGAAGUGUGAUAAUUAGAUUACAAACACCCUUUAAUUUCUUAAUAUUUUACUUAUUCGCAUAAUUUUAGUUAAAUCAUAGAGGGCUACUAUAUUGUGCUAAACAGUCAGAACCAGGAUUUGAAUUGUUUCUCCUGAUUGUUUUUAAACGCCUUGGAAUCGAAAAUAAUCAAAAAUACCGAGAUUCUUUUACUACUUCCACGAUACGUCAUACGUAAGCUCUACUAUAAUACCUAAAAAUAUCAAUUCUCUCUAUACUUCAGAUAACAUAGGUAGCUUACCUAAUUACUAUAAGGCAGAAUUUUGUAUAGCACCAACUUCUAGUGCUAUCAGAUAGCAUAAACACCGGACCUCUCUCUCGUCUCUCUCCCUCCGCGUCCCUCUCUCUCCGUCUCUUCCUGUCUCUCGUAUCCAAUCUCUCGUCGCUCUCCUCUCUAUAUAUAUAUAUUAGUAUUAUAUAUAUAUAUAUAUUAAUAUAUCAUAUAAUAUAUGACCCAAAUUUCGAAUUCUAAUGAUGAGCUUCACAUUUGUCGCACUCUAAGUUUAAUUUUAAAUUUAAAAAAAAUAAACGAUCGGUAGCAUAUUAUUUUUCUCUCUUAUUCAAAAAAAAAAAAAAUAUAGCUCGUGGUGAAUGACACCUAAACCCACAUUACACUAAUUUCACAUGAAGAAACCAACACGCAGGCAUUUUAGAAAAACAUUGUGAACCCAUACUUCUCAUCUAUCCUACUCCUAAGAUAAAGCACAGGCAAUACAAUAUCAAGGCUUAAAAUAAUAUUUGCCUCUUGAUUUAAAUCUAUGUGUCGCACCACGGUUAUGGAUUGGCUUAGCUACAAAUUUAUAGAUCCUCGCAUCAGAAAUUUCGUGAUCGACGUGUGAAGCACUCUCAGCAUUGAAGAUUAAAUACCAAACAAGUUGAAUUGCCACCAGCAAAAGAACACAAAAAAAAAAAGAAGAAAAUAAAAAGAAAAACUCAAUGUUCCGUCUUUGGCCGGNNNNNNNNNNNNNNNNNNNNNNNNNUUUUUUUUUUUUUUUUUUUUUUUUUUUUGGUAAACUUCAAAUAUCUAUCACCGGUAGUUUUGCAUUUUUUUUUCUUUUAAUACUAUGUAAUUUAAAAUAUAUCAAUUUGAUAUUCUAUGAUUUUAUUUUUUUUCUUUCUGUUUAGUUUUACCGUUAACAUUUCGUUAAAUUAUAUAUAAAAAACUUCAGAUACUAUGCCUAAAUUUAUUAAAUAUUUAUUCUAAUACCUUUUAGUUUUAAAUUUGUUACUGAUUUAACGAAAAGAAAGUAAAAAAAUAGUAUAAAGAAAAAAAUUAAACUAUAAAAUACUAAAUUAAUACACCUUAAAUUAUAGGAUACUAAAAUAAAAAAAGAAAAAACUUCAAAUACCCUCCUGUGGUUUCACAUUUUUUCACUUUGGUACCUUAUGAUUUAAAGUGUAUCAAGUUAGUACUCUGUGGUUUCAUUUUUGUAUCAAGUUAGUAUCUUGUGGUUUCAUUUUUUUCUUUUUAUUAUUCAUCUCGGGAUAUUUUUUUCAUUAAAUCAGUGACAAAGUUAAAAGUAAAAGAUACUAAAAUGAAUAUUUGAUAAAUCUAGAUAGAGUAUCUAAAUUUUUUUUUGUAUAUAAUUUAACGAAAUAUUAAACCACAGAAUACUAGAGUGAGAAGGUGCGAAACCACAGGGUACUAACCUGAUAUACUUUAAACUACAUGGUACUAAAGUGAGAAAGUGCAAAACUACAGAGUACUAAUUUGAUACACUUUAAAUCAAAUGAUACUAAAGUGAGAAAGUACGAAACCAAAAGGGGGUAAUUGAAGUUUUUCCCUAAAAAAAAUGAAACUAUAGGGAAGUUUUUUGUUGGGGCAAUUUCAUGGAUACCCCUCUCAAAGUCUAAAAUAUCAUAGAUGCCCCUAUAAAAUUUAAAAUAUUACCUAUACUCCUGUAAAUACAGAAAAUUAUCAUCAAUAUCCUUACUGUUAGUUACGUUAGCUUUACUUUACCUAUAGUUGAUUUUUUUAUUUCAACUCCCUCCUCAAAGUUUUACCGUAUUCAACUCCCCUAGAGGUAUGUAAAAAUGCAUUCUCUUGGAACUCCCAUUUAUUCAGUAAAAUUUUCAAUUGGGUAGAAAUAGGGAAAUUAUUGAUACCNNNNNNNNNNNNNNNNNNNNNNNNNNNNNNNNNNNNNNNNNNNNNNNNNNNNNNNNNNNNNNNNNNNNNNNNNNNNNNNNNNNNNNNNNNNNNNNNNNNNNNNNNNNNNNNNNNNNNNNNNNNNNNNNNNNNNNNNNNNNNNNNNNNNNNNNNNNNNNNNNNNNNNNNNNNNNNNNNNNNNNNNNNNNNNNNNNNNNNNNNNNNNNNNNNNNNNNNNNNNNNNNNNNNNNNNNNNNNNNNNNNNNNNNNNNNNNNNNNNNNNNNNNNNNNNNNNNNNNNNNNNNNNNNNNNNNNNNNNNNNNNNNNNNNNNNNNNNNNNNNNNNNNNNNNNNNNNNNNNNNNNNNNNNNNNNNNNNNNNNNNNNNNNNNNNNNNNNNNNNNNNNNNNNNNNNNNNNNNNNNNNNNNNNNNNNNNNNNNNNNNNNNNNNNNNNNNNAAAAAAUAAAAUCCCAUCGUAUGUAAAUUCAGUUAUGCGUUUGGUCUAUAUUUAAACUGAACUUGAACCGAAAUCCGAAACUAAAAACAAAACCAAAAUUAGAUAAAAACAUACUAUAUAUAAAAUAUAAUUUUUAUAUAUUUUUUAAUAAUUAAUAUAUAUUAAUGAUUUAAUUUAAUAUGUAUAUAUUAAAUACUCAAAUUUAGAUUUAUAAAAUUAUCUUGAAAUACCUAUUAGUAUUUUUAUUAUUAAGUAUUAAUAAGAGAUAAAGGGUAAAAUGGUAUUUUAAAAAUUUGACUCCGUUUCAAAUGGGACCUAACGGAUCUAAACUAAUAGAGGGCAUUUAUAAUAAUUUUUAACCUAUUGGAGGGUAUUUGUGAUAUUAUCAAUUUUAAAAAGGUAUUGAUGAAAUUAAUAGUUUCUAGAAGGGCAUCUAUGAAAUUUUUUCUUUUACAGAAAAGGCUCUUCGUCUAGAAUUUCAGUGGAUUGAGUGAAGAGAGAAAAAAAGAUUGAAAUUUUUUUUUUUUUUUUUGUUUGUUAUUUUAAUGAGAAAAAAUUCACCUUUGCACACCCACCACUAAAGGCACUAACCCCACUCCCAGUACUGCAUCAUCAUCAUCAAUCACCGUGUUUGUUUGCCCCGUGACCACUCCCUACACCCUACGUUUUUCCCACUCCCACCCCCUUUUCUUUUCCCAAUUUAACUUACACCACCACAGCGCGGCAUCACGCACGCGUACCCACAAAAGCUCCCAGAGAUAUCCACCGUAUCCAGCUUAGUUUGGCUUUAAAGUCUAACCAAUACUAGUACAGUAUUCCGUGCGAUGUAAGGAGCAGAUAAUUAAAGAAAAAAUGGAGAACAAUAAUAAAAAAAAAAAGAAAACAGUAAGUAAAGAAGCGACACUCAGGGAUGAGAUUUAUCUUGUCGAUAAAAAAAAUAUAACUCAAUAAUAAAUAGUUCGAAAAAUAUUAUUACGUGACAAAUUUAAAAAGAAUAAUAUAUAAAUAUAGAUAGAUAGAUGUAGACUAUGCUUUAUAUAUUUUUUAACUGAAUUUAUUUUUUUAAAAUAAAAAAGUAAUUUUUUCAAAAUAAUAAAAAUGAUAACGAUAACCGUGUACACAUAGUAUUAUUUUGUAAUCAAAAGGAAAGAAAGAAUACUUCAGGUAAAUUCUUUUGUUAUUAAAUAAUAUGUAUACUACUCUUUUAUAUAUAUAUAUAUAUAAUAUUAAGCUAGUGCAUAUGAAUUAUUCAUAGAUCAAAUCUUUCUUGCCUAUAAUUGAAUUAUUAAAAGCCAUAUUUGGAAUGCAAUAACUUAAGUUAGGAUGAUCAAAUUUAUACUAUAUAUAUAUGUUAAGAAUAACACUCUACACGAAUCUCAAAAUAGAAUUAAAAGCUAUCCAAUGCAUAGUUUUGAAUGUCCAAUGGAGACAAAUCUCACCAAAUUAUUCUUUUCCUUUUCUUUUAACUUUCCAAAAGUUGGGUACAUAUUUUGGUAAGCUAAAUAUGUGCAUUCAUUCACCAUCUCCAAACUUCCCAAACAGUAACACUUGAAACGCACUACAUCUCCCCCCUAAACAAGCGCAAAUCCCUCAUGAAACCUAUCAACAAUUUUUUUUAAAAAUUUUUUUUUAAUUUUUUAUAUAUAUCCAAAAGAGCCCAAUAUAAAAUUAAAUAAGAAACUCACAUUUAUUUUAUCAUAUUAUAUAGUCUAAAACACAGAAAUUUUUUUUAUAAAUAUUUAUUUUUUUAUUUUUUCUUUCUGAUUUUAAAAAAAUUUAUGUUUUAUUUCUUAAAAUUUUAAAAAUAUUUUCAGAGGAGUACGACGUUAAUGAAGAGAAUAAAAUAACUAAAUUAUUAUUAUUUUUUCUGUAAAUAAAUUAUAAAAAACGAAGGACUCAUAAACCUCCUCCCCUUAAUAAAUAAAAGUGUCAAACCCCAAAAUAUAGUACACACCAUCCUCCAACCCCCAUUAUUCAUCAUCAUCAUCUUCAUCAUCAUCAUCCAUGGCCCUCCUCCUCCUCCUCCUCUUCACCAACAUCUUCACCAUCUCCUCCUCCUCCUCCUCCUCCUCUCACCAUCACCAUCACCACCAAACCCUACCACCAUCUCCUCCAUCCUCACCCACACCUUCCACCUCCGCUUCCACCUCCCCCUCCCUCCAAAUCCUCCUCGCAUGCAACGCCACCCGUUUCCCCUCCAUCUGCGUCUCCUCCCUCUCCUCCUCCUCCUCCUCCUCCUCCACCGCUCCCGACAUCAUCUCCGCCGCCGUCUCCGCCGCCGCCGCCGCCCUCCCCGCCGCCGUCUCCGCCGCCAAAGACAUCCUCGCCGCCUCCGCCGCCUCCGUCAACCGCUCCUCCGCCGCCCGGAACUGCCUCGAGCUCCUCUCCCUCUCCUCCCGCCGCCUCUCCUCCGUCUCGCUCCCGCCGUCGUCGUUGCCGGCGGCGCGGGCGAUGGCGUCGGCGGCGCUGCUGUACCAGUACGACUGCUGGUCGGCCUACAAGUACGUGAACGACAGCCGGCAGGUGGACGCCGCCAUGGCCUUCCUCGCCGACAACCUCACCGCCCUCACCAGCAACGCCGCCUCCAUGCUCGCCGCCCUCCACCGCUUCGGCCCCGACCUCUCCCGCUGGGCCCCGCCCCAGACCGAGCGCGACGGGUACUUACAUUCCCGUCUUCUCAAAAUUCGAAACUUUAGUUGCUUCACAUUUCUAGCUUUACUCGUAUUUAGAAAAAAAAAAAAAAAGUUAAUUUUACAUAGAUCUAUGCAAAUACAUAAUGAAUAGUAAAUAUAUUUCUGCCUCGUUUGGUUAGGGGUUAAGGGGUGAAAUAAUCCCUUAACCUUCAUUUUAUUUUCAAACACUUCUAAAAAUAUUAGUGGGGUUAGCUAAUCCCACCUCAAAUGGGUUAUUUCGGAUUAGCUAACCCCACCUAACCUCAUCAAAUCCCAACCAAAUACUAUUUUCUAUUCAUAAUAAUUCACUAUCCUUCUUAUCCCACCUACUCCAACCAAACACUAUUUUUCACUAUCCUGAACUAACUCCAACCCCCAACCAAAUACGAAAAUAUUAUAAUCCCACCUUAACCCUAAACUUAACUCUAUUCCUGAAAUAACUAGUUUUUCCUUAAUCCCGAACCAAACGGUAGCAUAAAGUUUAACUUUCGUUUAUUAUUUCUUUAAAAAUUUUAAUUUUUAAAUAUGUCUGUGUCGUUAGAAUUUGAAUUUGAUAGAAAAAUUUAAUUAAUUAUAGAUUAAGUACUUAAUUUUAUUUAAUUUUUUUAUAUUUUUAAUCGUUUUAUAUUAUACUGUUAUGAUUUUUAGAGGAAUAUAUUUGUAAUGAUAAAAUUGAAAAUAUAAAUAAUUCUUUAACGGUAAUAAAUUAUAAGAACAUAUUUAAAAAUAUUAUAACUUUUGUAAAGAUAAUAUAAAGUUAAAUUUUAUGAAAAUAUAUUUAUUAUUUAUUAUGUUUGCGGGAAACUGAGAUAAAAUUAAUUUUAAAAAAUUAAAUAAAACGAAUUGUUGGCUAUUUUUUAUUUAAAAUUAAAAAAAAUAAUUGUUUUA